CUGCCGAAGGUUAAAUUCCCUCCUACUGCU
rnacentral:tRNA from 1 species